CUUCUAUGACACUGUGUAACUUAAAAGUCAUCCCUAUUUAUAUACAGCGUGUUCUGCUACUGUUUCUAUAUAAUUUAAGGAGUGAUUCUUGACGUCGAAAUGAGACGAAAAUCAAGAAUAAAAGAAUUGCGUUUUUGGUUUUAUUUCUUAGUUAUUGACAAUAAAAAGUCGGCCAGAAUAUCCCUGCACGCGAGCAAACUUCCUUACACGAACGAAAGGAGGUCAGCCUAAGCAGCGGAGCACACAGAGAUCCUCAAUUCGAUCGACAUAUGAGCUGCAGCUCAUCUCGUAUGAGUCGUAGAGAAGAAAACUAUGGUAUUCGGAGACGUAAACAACCCCGCGCGACCCUUCGCAAAAGAAAUGGUAGUUUAAACAUUCAACCUGCUUAUUCGUGGAAAUCCAUAAGAAUAUAUCGAAAACCUCACUAUGAAAUUUCCGAAUGGAGAGUAUUAAUGUUUCCUCUAAUCCUUUACUUCCGCGAGUGUCCACAGCAAAAUCACACACGCACCGCGAUUGCCCCAGCCGCGAGUGUCCACAAAAAAUACAACAAAUUACAAUAGAUCUUCGUUAUGUCCUCUGUUUUCUUGUAAACAGAUGCUGACUCUUCUCUUAAAAUUUUACUGUAUUGUGUUUUCAUGUGCCCCAGUAAAAAUCAAGAGGAUUUAAAUCUGGUGACGGAGCAGACCAAAACACAGGUCUUCUUCGAACGAUCUACCAUCCUGUUUCCAAAACAACUGGUCAACUGCUUUUGCAGUACACGCACUGUGCGCACUUCAUGUACAAUACACUCAAGUAAGACUCUAACUUAAUAUUUUCAGUUCUCUAAAAGUUCCCCUUCGAAUGUCGGAAUGAUUUUGUUCUUCAAAAACUGUUCUAGUUUCUUGCUUCAAAAUAGCUAAAACAUGGCAAUGUAGUGAUGGAGAGUUCAUUCAAAAAGAAAAAUUUACGAUACUCAUUACCAAUGCUUUCAUUUUCUUUGUAUAACUCGGAAUUAUUCAGGAACAGUUAUGAUAUUUAAGAAGUUCUUUUUGAAAGCAAGGGUACGAUAUUGAGGAAGCGAAGAGGCUGUACAUCAAAUGUGUUUAAAAAAACCUAUUUUACACAAUCUUCAAAUCUUAUAUAGCUAGAGAUUUAUUAGAUAUGCUCAUUGGAAAAGUGGACUUUCUGUUUACUAGAUGGGUUUCGGAAAUAUCUCAAUUCUUCAAGCCUUAUUGUCUUCGGUUUUUAUGACCGUAACGUGUUUUAAACGUGGAAAAAAAUUAGAAGAAUGCUCCAAGAAAGCUCUAGUAUAGAAAAGAAGCAUAACUAUCGCAUUUAUUAUUUAUUUUGAAGCAAAUAUUGUGACUAUAUUCGUGGAAUAAUAUAAAAUAUUAAUUUGAUAUUUUGUAGGAAGUGUUGAAAAACCGACUAUAAGUUUUUUGAACUUUCGCAUAUAUACUUUUGCUACGUUGCGGCGGAUGGGAAUAAUGCAAAAGUACGACGUUUAUACGCCGAAAAAUAUUCCAACAGGACUAUACUCAGCGUACAGACAUUUUGCAAUAUAGUUCAACGAUUGUGGGACACCAGCACAUUAAAACCUGUUCUAUCUGGCAUAUGAAUUCAGUACGACGACGCGGAUCUGGGAGAUAGAACACUGUACCGUAUUCAACAAAAUUCCAAUUUGAGUACGAGGAUUAUUACUGUUGAAAAAGGUGUCAGCACCGUAUGGUCAGUAUUGAAGGGGGAAAAUCUACACCCGUAUAGCAUCCAGAAAGUUCGACAGCUAAGAAAGGAUGAGUAGGAAAGUCCAAUGCGAUUUCAAUUUCCCCGCCAGAAUAUUAUUUACUGACGAGGCAACGUUUAACAAAUGUGCAAUUACAAAUAUGUGUAACGAAUAUUUCAGGUCAUAAGACAAUCGCGGUGCGUGUAUGAUUUUGCUGUGGACACUCGCAGAGGCAAAGGAUUAGAGGAAACAUUAAUCCCCUCUACUCGGAAAUUUCUAGGGUGGCUUUUAAUAUGCUCUUAUGGAUUUCCACGAGUAAGCAGGUUUAAUGUUUAAUCUACUUUCUUCUUUUUCUUUUUUUUUUUGCGAAACGUCGCGUGGUGUUGUUUACGUCUCCGGAUACCACGGUUAAUUUAUAUGAGGUAAACUGUCGUUCAUAUGUCGACUGAAUUGAGGAUCACUGUGCGCCCCGCUGCUUAGGUUGACCUCCUUUCGUUCAUGUAAGAAAGUUUGCUUGCAUGCAGGGAUAUUUUGUCCGAUUUUUGAUUGUCAAUAACUAAAAAUUAAAACCGAAAACGUAAUUUUUGUAUUCUUGCUUUUCGUCUCAUUUCGGCGUUAAGAAUCACUCCUUAAAUUAUAUAGGAAUAGUAGCCGAACACCCUGUAUAUUUAUACCUUUUAAAUUAAUAUAGAAAGGAUCUGUAACUAGAAUUCUGGUUUUAAGAAGAUAAACUUUAUACAUAUGUGUAUAUUCGAAGAAAUUAACAAAAAAAGGACAAUCUUUUUCUAAGAAAAUUCACGAUACUUGUAGCUCUAUUACCUAUUGCCUCUUGUAAUUCUAUUACCUACAUUAAUCUUCAAUAUUUUCAUUCUAAAUACUUGUAAUAGAGUUAAUAAUAUUUUUAUAGAA